UCUCACCCGACGUUCAAUCUCCGCCCGGGGCUAGAAUCCAGGCAGAGAAGGGGGGCUCCCGCGGUCAACACUACAAAGAGGUCCGCGGCGCCACACUUAAGGCACCCGACCGACGGGUCGUCAAGGCGAUAGUCGUCGACUCUACGUCUGCCGUCUCAGUACGGCAGCCUAACAGCCGCCCCAGAUGGUGCCGCUGGUGUCCUGGAAUGUCCUACUGGACCAGAACCAGCCUUCAACGUCGAACAAUGAUACUCCCCCAACCAGUUGCUCUUACAUAAAAGUUCCGUAGAAUUGUAAUGAUUUUGUCCCAGGCGGGCUGUGAGCUCGUUUUCCCGUCUACACCGUUAAUAAAAAAACCACUACCCUACCUAUUCAAAGCAUACAAGUAUAGAGGUUUCCUAAGCUGCGACCUUAUAUCGCAUAGUUGAAGUCGUCGUGGCCUAAAGGAUAAGCCGUCCAGUGCAUUCGUAUGCAGCGAUGCACCGGUGUUCGAAUCCCGCCGGCGGGUACCAAUUGUUCCACUGAAAUACGUACUUAAAAAAUGUACACGAUUGACUUCCACGGUGAAGGAAUAACAUCAUGUAAUAAAAAUCAAACCCAAAAUUAUAAUUUGCGUAAUUACCAUCACCCUGCCUAUUUCUUCCGUGAAGCAGUAUUGCGUUUCGGUUUGAAGGGUGGUGCAGCUGUUGUAUACUGAGACCUUAGAACUCAUAUUUUAAGGUGGGUGGCGGCUUUUACAUUGUAGAUGUCUAUGAGUUGCGGUAACUACUUAACACUAGGUGGGCCGUGAGUUCGUCCACUCAUCUAUGCAAUAAAUAAAAAGUCCCAGAUGGGUCUCAGUUUGUCUAAGUCUAAGUUAUAUCUGGACUCACUUUUUCAGAGUGAGUCUGAGCGGCCCGGCUGCCGGCGGCGUAGCUUUACACGCAAAGGAAACCGAUUACGUUAUUUAUGUUUGUAGCUCGCAACGGAUCUUUACGACACCAGCCGUAUAACACAGAUUGUAGGGGAACGAGCCGCGAAGCCAGAGCGGUAAUAACAUCCAGGCUCAGCGCGAACACAAAUCAACGUACAUUUGCUCCACUAAGCAUAAAUACAUAGCGAUUUGUAACUCCUUAUUUCAUCAACCGACAAACUAACCUCGGGGCAAUAUACUUGAACGAAAUUCACAGAAUCAAACAAUUAAUUUGAGGUUGCGCAGUGCAAGAGGGAAGACCCGGAGAUCUGCAGCGCCAGAAGCCAGGCCGCUGUCCCUCGCUGUACAUUAAUUGAGGAAGGACAUCCUAAGCAUAAAAAUAAAUGCAUAGAGCGAAUGCUUAAAAAGCAUGUGUCAAUUCACAUCGCGUAGAGGUGAAACCUGCGGAAAUAUUCAGCUCUAUUAUAUCUCUUUUAUAUUCUUUUGCAGGUAAAUCUUAUAGAUCUACAUGUUUGUCUCCUCUUGGUGUUUUUUUUUCGUUACAACGAGUUUCAAAUGACAACGGCGGUAAAAAAGUUUUCACUUCGAAAAUGUUCUUUCGAAACCAAAGACAUCCAUAAAACGUGAAUCUCGUAAUGACGGACCUCACUCCUUAAUCUAGUACAAACUCUGUCAUACUGGAUAUUUCUCUCGCCAGUCAAAUAGUCAAAACGACAACAUUUAGAUCAUGAGACUCAAAGUGGACAAUAUCGUGCUUAUAGCCGAUGUUAAGGAGAAUUAUAUAAUAUAACGUAAUAUUAAAACUUUUCAUUUCGUACGAAUCGGGUUUUUUCUAUUUACGCGCAAUUCUGGAAGGUCAUGAAUAAUCAUGAACCAAUUGUCGGUGUCACGGUCGUCAAUCAAAGCACGUGUCUUUGGUGUAGCGGAAAAUGUGAGACGACAUGAUCAAAAUAUAUUGAAUGGUCCGCGUCGGCUCGGCGUGGACUGCUUCUCUGGGCAACUUAGAUCAUCAGCUCAAGAUCAGCAUGCACUCUUUGGGCAAGUAAUUUAUCGAACACAAAACGUAUUUACAAGUUUCCUGGAUUUUUUACACAGAAUCUGAAAUUCCGUGUUUGCAAAUAAUACAUUCAUCGUAACUAGA